ensembl:lncRNA
UGGGCUUAUAUUUUCAGAAAGCUGUUGAAGAAAAGCAUCAGAAAAACCUUCCUACAAAACAAAAUGAGGCAAAACUUCAAGCCUGGAGAACCCCAUCAGUGAAUUCAUCUCAACAUUUGAGGAAGAGGUAUAACUCAUCAGAAAUGCUCGUGUCUGUGUGCCAAAUGAUAUUGAAAUGGAAGCAAACCACCCCUACGUGCAGUGCUGUGUGAUUAUUACAGUUCUACUACCAAAUGAAAGAAAUAAGAUGCAGUUCAUUCUCUGUAAUUCCCUUUACAUAAGGUUCAAAACCAGGAAAACUAAUCUGCACGGUUAGAAGCGAGGUUUCCUCUGAGGAAAAGAAGAGUCGUCAUUUGGAACCAGAGUAGGUGGGGGGCGGGGAUGAAGUUCUAAGUUUCUGGUAGUGACUUGUUUGUCUUAGAAUGAUGGUUGUACAGGUUUUUUCACUUUGGAAUUGCUUCUGGAGCUCUCCAAUAUUUAUACCCCUUUUAGUUAUAUAUAUUCUACUUCAGUAAAAGAAUUUAUAUUAACAUGAAAGCAUAGAAAUUGUCCACUUUACUGAAGUUGUGAAAUUUUUGCACUGCCAUACAAAUACUGCCCUGGUUUCUUUUUCUGAAAGGCAGCAGUAAUUCAUCCUAUGAAUGUAUAAACCCCAACACAACUCAAGAAUCAGGCAAGUGGGUGCAAUGUAUGUGGUAUGUGAAGAAUCCAAAUAGAUCCCUCGGCUGUCACAGCUGAGCUGUGGGGCUGCCAGGAAUCUCAAGGAUGAGAAGACAAUUAAAGAAAAUCCUUUAUGGGACAAGGGCUUUGAAGAAGCCUCAGGUUAACAAAUAUCCAAUGGGAACUCUCCUCCUCUGCUAACAGGUAGUCAUGGAUCACAAGCAAUCGAGGCAUGUAAAAUUUGCCACCAAAGUAAUUGUACGUGGGGCUUCCCUGGUGGUCCAGUGGUUAAGAAUCCACCUUGCAAUGCAAGGGACACAGGUUUGAUCCCUGGUCUGGAGGAUCCCACAUGCCGCAGAGCAACUAAGCCAGUGCACCACAGCUAAUGAGCCAGUGCUCCCGAGCCUGCGAGCUGCAACUGCUGAGCCCAUGCACCGCAACUACUGAAGCCCUAGAGCCCAGGCUCUGCAAAAAGAGAAGUCACCACAAUGAGAAGUCUGUGAACCCCAACGAAGAGUAGCCCUUGCUCGCCAUGACUAGAGAAAGCCCACGUGCAGCAACGAAGACCCAGAGCAGCCAAAAAAAAAUAGAAUAAAUAAAUAAAUUUUUUUAAAAAAUAAUUAUACAUAAUACCUGCUGAGCUCUUUUUAUGACCUGGGCCCACUUUGCAAGCAAUAACUUAUUUUAUCCUCACGAUAACCUUUUUCUAAUUACACAGAUGAAAAUAUCAGAGGCACAGACUGGUGUAGCAAUUUGCCACAGUGUGGGAGUAAAGAGGCAAGAUGUGAACCCAGGCAGUCUGGCCACAGGGCUCAAACUCCUAACGUCUGUCCACACAGCUGUUCCAGGCUAAUUAGCAACUUUACAAACUGGUCUUGCACACAUCUCAGUAAUGUGACGGAAGGAAUACAAUUUUUUUUUUUAAAUGUUCUGGUAGAAUGUUUU